UACGGAGGAUGCGAGCGUUAUCCGGAUUUAUUGGGUUUAAAGGGUGCGUAGGCGGACUGUCAAGUCAGCGGUAAAAUUGAGAGGCUCAACCUCUUCCCGCCGUUGAAACUGGUGGUCUUGAGUGGAUGAGAAGUACGCGGAAUGCGUGGUGUAGCGGUGAAAUGCAUAGAUAUCACGCAGAACUCCGAUUGCGAAGGCAGCGUACCGGCAUCCAACUGACGCUGAAGCACGAAAGCGUGGGGAUCGAACAGG
rnacentral:rRNA from 1 species